rnacentral:miRNA from 1 species
AGCCGUAAACGAUGGAUACU